rnacentral:rRNA from 1 species
UACGGAGGAGGCAAGCGUUAUCCGGAAUUAUUGGGCGUAAAGAGCUCGUAGGCGGUUUGUCGCGUCUGCCGUGAAAGUCCGGGGCUCAACUCCGGAUCUGCGGUGGGUACGGGCAGACUAGAGUGAUGUAGGGGGAGACUGGAAUUCCUGGUGUAGCGGUGAAAUGCGCAGAUAUCAGGAGGAACACCGAUGGCGAAGGCAGGUCUCUGGGCAUUAACUGACGCUGAGGAGCGAAAGCAUGGGGAGCGAACAGG